rnacentral:rRNA from 1 species
UACGUAGGGCGCAAGCGUUGUCCGGAAUUAUUGGGCGUAAAGAGCGUGUAGGCGGCCAAGUAAGUCUGCUGUGAAAACUCGAGGCUUAACCUCGAGCUGUCGGCGGAAACUAUUUGGCUAGAGUCCGGAAGAGGAGAAUGGAAUUCCUGGUGUAGCGGUGAAAUGCGCAGAUAUCAGGAAGAACACCCGUGGCGAAGGCGGUUCUCUGGGACGGUACUGACGCUGAGACGCGAAAGCGUGGGGAGCGAACAGG